ACGCCGAUGGUGAAGUGGUUAUCAUGCUUGCCUUCCAAGCAAGCGGCGGGGGUUCGAUUCCCUCUCGGCGUA
rnacentral:tRNA from 1 species